ensembl:lncRNA
CACACAUGAACACUUUUACAUCACCUUUGCUCAGACUACACCUGCUUGGUGCCUCGAUUUGAUUGGCUGGGUUUAGCCAGGGUUCAGAGAGAGUGUGACUUUGUUCUGGUCGGUUGUUUGCAGAUCUGUGGAGCCUGAAGACCAGGUGAGAAGCAGUGUGGAACUGCUCAUAAAUCAUUCCAUGUGAGUGGAGGAAGUUUUUAAUGAAAGCAGGAGGACAUGGGGGUCUGGCACAGUGCUUGGUUAGCCAUCCAUUUCCUCAAAUGGCCUUUCAUCAUGCUGUGGAUUUCCUCUCUAUCACAGUCUAACCUGAGAUCAGACCACAUCACACAGGAGAGUGUCGGCAUCUGAAACAUUGCUGAAAGCAUCUUUCUACUACAGCCACUGAAGGUGUGAAGGAACACCAUCCUCCAGAAAUACCGUCUAAGAUGUCAAUCACUAACUUAAAGUAAAAUUAAAUAUCAAUAUGGUCUGUAUGUUAUUUUAAUUUAUUUUAUUUCAUUUUAUUUUAUCUCAUUUUUUUUAUUCUAUUUCAUACUAAGCACAGUGCCUACAGUAAAGAUGGAUUACAGCUGUCUGAUGUGCAGUCCCUCUCUUCAUGGCCAGUCUGAAAGAUUUCACAUUGCAAAACCUUCCAGAAUUCAUUAAAUCAACAUGCGGGUUGAACUUCCUCCAACUCUUCUUUGAGCCAAGGUUUAUGCGACAAAAUAACUUCUACAGUAGUGUUUUCUGUGUUUUUGAGGUGUCGGCAUCUGACACAUUGCUGAAAGCAUCUGUCUACCACAGCACUGAAGGUGUGAAGGAACACCAUCCUCCAGAGAUACCGUCUGACAGUCACAUUUGAAAAGAAUUCCACAAAGGAUCCACCUGCUCCCAGUGAAGCUCCUCUGGAAGUGUCCGCUCUUUUCUGGUUCCUCUCAGUGCAUUCAGAGAAUUGAUAUGUCCAUCAGGAUGAUGACCUUCGAUGGAUUUCCGGUUCACUGGAUGGAGGAAUGGAACAGCUACAAAUGUCUGGCACUUUCUGUGUUGAGACACUAUUUAUUAAAAAAAAAAAAAAAAUUAAACAAUAACAACAUGAUAAAGGUUUAUUUAUAGUUGCCUGUACAUGUUAAACUGGAUUGUUUGUUGUUAAUUGUUUUAGAAACUGUUAAUGUCAAUGUUCAGUAGCAACAGUAAAAAAAAAAAUGAUCUCAGGAAAAGCCUUUCCACUUCUCUUUCCUUUUCUUAUAUU